rnacentral:rRNA from 1 species
AUUGAACGCUGGCGGCAUGCUUUUCACAUGCAAGUCGAACGGUAACAGGUUAAGCUGACGAGUGGCGAACGGGUGAGUAACGCAUCGGAACGUGCCCGGUCGUGGGGGAUAACGCAGCGAAAGCUGCGCUAAUACCGCAUACGAUCUGAGGAUGAAAGCGGGGGACCGUAAGGCCUCGCGCGAUCGGGGGGGCCGAUGUCAGAUUAGGUAGUUGGUGGGGUAAAGGCUCACCAAGCCGACGAUCUGUAGCUGGUCUGAGAGGACGACCAGCCACACUGGGACUGAGACACGGCCCAGACUCCUACGGGAGGCAGCAGUGGGGAAUUUUGGACAAUGGGCGCAAGCCUGAUCCAGCAAUGCCGCGUGCAGGAAGAAGGCCUUCGGGUUGUAAACUGCUUUUGUACGGAGCGAAAAGGCUCUCUCUAAUACGGAGGGCUCAUGACGGUACCGUAAGAAUAAGCACCGGCUAACUACGUGCCAGCAGCCGCAGUAA